GCUUGUCUCAAAGAUUAAGCCAUGCAUGUCUAAGUAUAAACUGCUUAUACUGUGAAACUGCGAAUGGCUCAUUAAAUCAGUUAUAGUUUAUUUGGUAAUCGAAUUUACAUGGAUAACCGUGGUAAUUCUAGAGCUAAUACAUGCUGUAAAGCCCGACUUUUCGGAAGGGCCGUAUUUAUUAGAUAACAGACCAAUAUUCCUCGUGUCUAUUGUGGUGAAUCAUAGUAACUAAUCGGAUCGCAUGGGCUAGUCCCGCGACAAACCAUUCAAGUUUCUGCCCCAUCAGCUUUCGAUGGUAGUGUAUUGGACUACCAUGGCUUUUACGGGUAACGGAGGAUUAGGGUUCGAUUCCGGAGAGGGAGCCUGAGAAACGGCUACCACAUCUAAGGAAGGCAGCAGG
rnacentral:rRNA from 1 species